rnacentral:rRNA from 1 species
CUCUGUGACUCCUACGGGAGGCAGCAGUGGGGAAUAUUGCACAAUGGGGGAAACCCUGAUGCAGCCAUGCCGCGUGUGUGAAGAAGGCCUUCGGGUUGUAAAGCACUUUCAGUAGGGAGGAAGGUAGUGUAGUUAACACCUGCAUUAUUUGACGUUACCUACAGAAGAAGCACCGGCUAACUCCGUGCCAGCAGCCGCGGUAAUACGGAGGGUGCGAGCGUUAAUCGGAAUUACUGGGCGUAAAGCGCAUGCAGGCGGCCUGUUAAGUCAGAUGUGAAAGCCCCGGGGCUUAACCUCGGAAUUGCAUUUGAAACUGGCAGGCUAGAGUCUUGUAGAGGGGGUAGAAUUUCAGGUGUAGCGGUGAAAUGCGUAGAGAUCUGAAGGAAUACCAGUGGCGAAGGCGGCCCCCUGGACAAAGACUGACGCUCAGAUGCGAAAGCGUGGGGAGCAAACAGGAUUAGAUACCCUGGGAG